AGCGAUGAUUUGUUAAGGGUGUUUAUGACGAUCCGGCUUCCCUGCGAAGGCACGACAUUGCUCACAUUGCUUCCAGUAUUAUUUAGCCAGCUCGGGUGCUGGCUUU
rnacentral:misc_RNA from 1 species